CCAUUUCAGACGCAUGUUUCCGGGUCCGCUGUAUAAAAAUUUAGCGUAACUGCGCAUAACAUUCAGACGGAGACAGUGAAAGGAACUCUCAGCUUCCCCCACACGAUGUGUCGAUAUGAUGUCGCUGUUGUCUCGCCUUCAGGCGGGAUGAAAACAGUCCGCCUGUACUCCAAACAGCUGCCCGUCCAACAACCGACGGUGGGCCAGCUGAGGAAGGAAGCGCUCAAAGCGUUUUCCCACAGAAAUAUUUGGGUGAAAUCCGUCUGGUCGUUGAAGGAAACCCACUGGACGACGACUCUGCGUCGCUGUCAGACUGUAAAAUCAAGCCCAACUCUGUUGUGCAGAUGGUGACCAAGGUUCACGGAGGCUGACUGAGCUCCAUCGUCGAGCUCCAACCGUGUAACACAGACCAAGGACAAAAAUGCUUUUGUACGCUGUUAAACCUGUGCAGUUAUUUCGAGCUGUUUCUCAGGGUGUAAACAAUUCAUUAGCUACUUUUUUCUUUUUUCUCUUUUUCUUUUAUUUUUGUUGAUAAAUUGUGUGGGACACCAAUAACAAAUGUAAGGGUGCACACACCGGGGAAAUUAAAUGCUCCACCUCACGGGCUUCUGUGCUCAGAGCCAAAGAUUAUAAAUAAUAAAUCAAUCAUGUGGCAAUAUUAUUAGCCACAUGAUAACCACCAAGAAAUGAGAAAAUGUAAAGGCACACAGAACAACCUCAAGAAAGUAAAUCAUGUACUGAUUUGUAUCAUUUGUGCUUUUGUGAUGUAAAUAAAAACAAACAUAUACCAUUGUACUUGUCAUGGACUGGAUUGCACUUUUAGAUUAGUUAGUUGCAAGUUACGCAAGAAGUAAAAUUCUGAUUUGCUUUGUAACCUAUUUCUUCAGACUGUCAGAGAGUCAGAGUCAGACUGUCAUGUAUAUUACGGUAUACAAAAUGAUACAUAAAAGCCUGAUACUCAUGAUAAAGGCCCGUCAUGUACAGUGAUUUGUAUUUGAGACAUUUAAGGACUUUUCGCCCAAUUUCCACCAACUGGAAAUUAUAUGUAAGUGAAUAAAAAAUGUUUAAAAAUCAUUUAAUCUCCAUAAAAUAAUUCAAAUACUGGAAUCAAACUGAAACAAACU
ensembl:lncRNA